GGGAUUGCCCUAGUAACGGCGAGUGAAGCGGCAACAGCUCAAAUUUGAAAUCUGACUCUUUUAGAGUCCGAGUUGUAAUUUGCAGAGGGCGCUUUGGCGUUGGCAGCGGUCCAAGUUCUUUGGAACAGGACGUCACAGAGGGUGAGAAUCCCGUACGUGGUCGCUAGCCUUCGCCGUGUAAAGCCCCUUCGACGAGUCGAGUUGUUUGGGAAUGCAGCUCUAAAUGGGAGGUAAAUUUCUUCUAAAGCUAAAUACUGGCCAGAGACCGAUAGCGCACAAGUAGAGUGAUCGAAAGAUGAAAAGCACUUUGGAAAGAGAGUCAAAUAGCACGUGAAAUUGUUGAAAGGGAAGCGCUUGCAGCCAGACUUGCCUGUAGUUGCUUAUCCGGACUCUUGUCCGGUGCACUCUUCUGCGAGCAGGCCAGCAUCAGUUUGGGCGGUUGGAUAAAGGUCUCUGUCAUGUACCUCUUUUCGGGGAGGCCUUAUAGGGGAGACGACAUGCAACCAGCCUGGACUGAGGUCCGCGCAUCUGCUAGGAUGCUGGCGUAAUGGCUGUAAGCGGCCCGUCUUGAAACACGGACCAAGGAGUCUAACAUCUAUGCGAGUGUUUGGGUGUCAAGCCCAGACGCGUAAUGAAAGUGAACGGAGGUGGGAACCCUUACGGGUGCACCAUCGACCGAUCCUGAUGUCUUCGGAAGGAUUUGAGUAAGAGCAUGGCUGUUGGGACCCGAAAGAUGGUGAACUAUGCUUGAAUAGGGUGAAGCCAGAGGAAACUCUGGUGGAGGCUCGCAGCGGUUCUGACGUGCAAAUCGAUCGUCAAAUUUGGGCAUAGGGGGCGAAAGACUAAUCGAACUAUCUAGUA
rnacentral:rRNA from 1 species